UGUAAAAUAAAAUUGUCAUUUCCGUUUAAGUCUAAAUGAAUUUCACAGUGUCAUUGUAAAAAAUAAAAAAGUCUAGAUCUAAUCUACAUAGAUUCAACCCAGAUAGUCUAGUCCUACUCAAUGGAAAAAUGGCAUUUAAAAUUAAAAUUCUUUUUAUAACUUUCUUUUAUUUUCUGUUGAACACUAAACAUUCAGACUCAAAGCCUGUAAUUAACCCUUUGAGAGACAAACUCAGAAUAGUUGGGUUAUACUUAGCAGCUCACAAGUACUUUGAAGUAGAUCGAAGAACGGGCAGUGAAAUGACUUGGAAGUACGAUGAAAGAGUAUACCAUAAGUAUUUCCCACUGCCUCGAUUAAAGAGACUUCACCCGGAAGUGCGGACUGCCUGUGACCAGGGAGUGCUGACCUGUAUAGACGUGAUUGCUGACAAUGCUGUCAAGUCUUACUCCUUGAAAUACCUCACUUUGAAGUACAUGAAUGAGACCAACCCUUCGAAACCAUUCGCCACACCUUUGGAACUUUUUCAAUACAGAGCCUCAGCUGCCUACUUCCUGUGUUGGUUCACUAUGCAGAGAUCAGAAUAUUUGAUGAAUUACAUGAGUGGCUCCAAUUGUUUGCAGGAUCUGGAGAAAGUCAAAGAGAAGGAAGUGGCCGAUAAAGACGUUGUGGACUUUAGACAUGACUCUAUACAGAACCCUUUCUUGUGUGCAGAAAUACAGUUUUGUCCAAAUUAUUGCUACGGAAGGAGAUCAGGUGGUUCUGUACCGUCUCAGUUAGCUCUGAUUAAAGAUUCUGGAAACCCGUGCAAACAUUUGAAAGACCCAACGUGUACAAUACUGCCUAAUGAAAAUACCGACUUCGACGGUCUACAGAGAAAUAUGUUUAAUAUCUCCUGCUCUUGUCAGAGAUCUGGAUUUAUCUGGAGCUCCCGAUUCGAACUCUGCGUUGAUGUGGAUGAGUGUAAGUUGAAGACUGUGACGUGUACCAAUGGUCAAGUCUGUCAGAAUCUGCCAGGCAGCUACAAGUGCGUCUGUCGCAAAGGUUACAGGUUUGAUGCAGAGAGCAACCAGUGUGUCGAGUUAGUACCCAUUCCGUCACAUUCUUUAUCUCGGACUGGAAGGGUUAAAGCUAUUCAACAGAAUGGCGUAGCGGAAAGGUAUGUUCCAUAUUUCUGUUGACGAAAGAAAUUUACUUCUGAAUAAGCCGCACCCCAUCAACCCGCCUCAUGAAUUAAAUGGAGACACAAGUUUACGAGACUACAGCUUUUUACCUCUAAAAAGUAGAUCUAGAGAGUUCUUCUAACCAGCCAACAAUAAGAUUUCUCCAUCUUCCGGAAAGGUUUCUAUUCCAACACCAUCACCAAUUUCUUUAAUCUGAAAAUUGCGUUUGACCGACUGAAGUUGCGAAGCUUAUCCAAGGGAGGUCAUUAAACUAUCUGACACUGAGAAACAUCUCCAGAGUAAAGUGUAGCAGGUCAAGGUCAAAUGUGGAAGUGUUUGCUGUCAAUGCUACCUAUUUGUGUCACCGAUUUACAGAAAACUUAAAUAACAUUAAAUGAAAAACUUAGAUAACACUAAAUAUAAACAAAAUACUUUUAUUAUUGUGAAAAGUUGGUAUGUGUCACAACCCCUUUAAUUUUUUUCAACAUAUUACAAGAUACAAUUAGAUAAACAACUAGAUCAAAAUGUGUUACAAAAUACAACUACAUCAACAUGUGUUACAACCUAUAACUAUAUCAACAUGUGUUACAACACACAACUACAUCAACAUGUGUUACAACACACAACUACAUCAACAUGUGUUACAACAUACAUCUACAUCAACAUGUGUUACAACAUA